rnacentral:lncRNA from 1 species
CGCGGCGAUCCUUGCAACCUGCCCGCAGGAGAGUGCCGGCCGGCCGUGCAGAAAGUGCCCGCUGAGUGUGUUACUUAAGAGGGGGCGGCAACGACCAGCGGGCGAACGAAGCUCAGCGCGCUGUGCCUUGCCAGGGAAAUGACGAGCCAGGACCCAUGGGCUGCUUCAGAGGAAAUAACCGGCGGCGUUUUAAUUAAACAGAAGAAGGGGAAGAAGCGACCUCUUUGGGAAUCUUCUGCAAGGAAAGGUCCGAUGGGGCGCGCGGGCUUGACUGCUGUCGGAUCGGUCGGCCAGCAGGCAGCGACGAACGCCGUUUAAGUUGCGCCCGCGAACGUUGCGCCCAGCGAGUGCGCAGCAGCGCGUCCACUCCAGAGCGCGUCGCCGCUUCGGCGACCGCCUUUUGGCUCUCUUAACAGAGUUUGCUUGGUGGAUCUCAGGUUCGCUCGCCAAAAGAGGUGGAGACUUUGGGAAGGAGGAGGGCGAGUCCCUUCUCCGUGAGAUCCACUCAUGAGAUCCACUCAUGCCCGCGCAGGCCCAGCGCGGAUGGACAAACCGACGGACAGCGGGUGACUUCCGUGACUUGUGACAGACGCGGCGGCGGGCGUGAAUCCCGGGUGAACUCCACAUGCUUGGCAAAAUACCUGACUCUGUUCUCCCCUCCAUAACUAUAGAAGGCUCUCGUCCCAGAACACUAUUUAGUUGAAGGACACGAUCAUAAGGCGAACAUCAUAAAAAGAGAAUUUUAUAGAUAUAAAAAAUGAGCAUUAAAAUUUGAAUGAAUAGGAAGGAUAAAGACAUUCGCUUCCACGUGAUUGCAACAGGCUUUAAAAGUUUGAAGAAGUGCCCUCUUCUUCACUCAUUUACCCGACGUCAACGCGCGCGCACCUCCACGCAGAAGAUUAGGGCGAAUAGGGCCGGCGGCUCUACCGUUCAGCAAAGGGGAGAUGCUAGGAUGCAGCGCCCAACCAGCCUCGCAAUCGCUUCUCUCCGACGUCGGGAGCAUCACUGUCUCUUUCUGCCGGAGGGGCUCUCAUGUGCAUCACGUGGUCUGCCCUGCACGGAAAAUCAAAGGAAGCGCGAGCUACUCAAAGAAAAGCGGAAAAGCAUCAAGAUGGAAUAGAAGUACAUUACCAUGAUUGCUGAUGUCUGCAGCAGCUUUUUCAAAGUAUCCUGAGCACAACUCAGCAUAGGAAAAGAGACCGCCCCCACUGC